rnacentral:rRNA from 1 species
GGUGAACGCUGGCGGCGUGCCUAACACAUGCAAGUCGAGCGGGUACCCGCAAGGGUACCAGCGGCGCACGGGUGAGUAACACGUGGGUAAUCUACCCCUCGGAGGGGGAUAACUGGGGGAAACCCCGGCUAAUACCCCAUACGAUCCGGCAACGAAGGUUGCUGGGUGAAAGGGGCGUUUGCUCCGCCGAGGGAUGAGCCCGCGGCCCAUCAGGUAGUUGGUGGGGUAAUGGCCCACCAAGCCUACGACGGGUAGCCGGCCUGAGAGGGUGGUCGGCCACAAGGGCACUGAGACACGGGCCCUACUCCUACGGGAGGCAGCAGUGGGGAAUCUUGGACAAUGGGCGAAAGCCUGAUCCAGCGACGCCGCGUGGGGGAUGAAGCCCUUCGGGGUGUAAACCCCUGUUGCGAGGGAGGAAUAAGGCCUGGAGGAAAUGCCAGGCCGAUGACUGUACCUCGCGAGGAAGCCCCGGCUAACUACGUGCCAGCAGCCGCGGUAAUACGUAGGGGGCGAGCGUUACCCGGAUUCACUGGGCGUAAAGCGGGUGUAGGCGGCUCGGUAAGUCGGGUGUGAAAUCCCACAGCUCAACUGUGGAAUUGCGCCCGAAACUGCUGAGCUUGGGGCCGGUAGAGGGAGACGGAACUGCCGGUGUAGGGGUGAAAUCCGUAGAUAUCGGCAGGAACGCCGGUGGGGAAGCCGGUCUCCUGGGCCGCGCCCGACGCUGAGACCCGAAAGCUAGGGGAGCAAACC